rnacentral:rRNA from 2 species
AAAUUGAAGAGUUUGAUCAUGGCUCAGAUUGAACGCUGGCGGCAGGCCUAACACAUGCAAGUCGAGCGGUAGCACAGAGAGCUUGCUCUCGGGUGACGAGCGGCGGACGGGUGAGUAAUGUCUGGGAAACUGCCUGAUGGAGGGGGAUAACUACUGGAAACGGUAGCUAAUACCGCAUAACGUCGCAAGACCAAAGUGGGGGACCUUCGGGCCUCAUGCCAUCAGAUGUGCCCAGAUGGGAUUAGCUAGUAGGUGGGGUAACGGCUCACCUAGGCGACGAUCCCUAGCUGGUCUGAGAGGAUGACCAGCCACACUGGAACUGAGACACGGUCCAGACUCCUACGGGAGGCAGCAGUGGGGAAUAUUGCACAAUGGGCGCAAGCCUGAUGCAGCCAUGCCGCGUGUGUGAAGAAGGCCUUCGGGUUGUAAAGCACUUUCAGCGGGGAGGAAGGCGUUAAGGUUAAUAACCUUGGCGAUUGACGUUACCCGCAGAAGAAGCACCGGCUAACUCCGUGCCAGCAGCCGCGGUAAUACGGAGGGUGCAAGCGUU